rnacentral:rRNA from 1 species
UACGUAGGGUGCAAGCGUUUAAUCGGAAUUACUGGGCGUAAAGCGUGCGCAGGCGGUUGUGCAAGACCGAUGUGAAAUCCCCCGGGCUUAACCUGGGAAUGGCAUUGGUGACUGCACGGCUAGAGUGUGUCAGAGGGGGGUAGAAUUCCACGUGUAGCAGUGAAAUGCGUAGAGAUGUGGAGGAAUACCGAUGGCGAAGGCAGCCCCCUGGGAUAACACUGACGCUCAUGCACGAAAGCGUGGGGAGCAAACAGG